GACGAACGCUGGCGGCGUGCCUAAUACAUGCAAGUAGAACGCUGAAGGAGGAGCUUGCUUCUCUGGAUGAGUUGCGAACGGGUGAGUAACGCGUAGGUAACCUGCCUGGUAGCGGGGGAUAACUAUUGGAAACGAUAGCUAAUACCGCAUAAUAGUAGAUGUUGCAUGACAUUUGCUUAAAAGGUGCAAUUGCAUCACUACCAGAUGGACCUGCGUUGUAUUAACUAGUUGGUGGGGUAACGGACCACCAAGGCGACGAUACAUAGCCGACCUGAGAGGGUGUACGGCCCCACUGGGACUGAGACACGGCCCAGACUCUUACGGGCGGCAGCAGUAGGGAAUCUUCGGCGAUGGACGGAAGUCUGACCGAACCACGCCGCGUGAGUGAAGAAGGUUUUCGGAUCGUAAGGCUCUGUUGUAAGAGAAGAACGAGUGUGAGAGUGGAAAUUUCACACUGUGACGGUAUCUUACCAGAAAGGGACGGCUAACUACGUG
rnacentral:rRNA from 1 species